rnacentral:rRNA from 1 species
UGCGCAGGCGGGCUUUUAAGCCAGACGUGAAAUCCCCGGGCUUAACCUGGGAAUGGCGUUUGGGACUGGGAGUCUGGAGUGCGGCAGAGGAGACUGGAAUUCCUGGUGUAGCAGUGAAAUGCGUAGAUAUCAGGAGGAACACCGAUGGCGAAGGCAGGUCUCUGGGCUGACACUGACGCUCAUGCACAAAGGCUGGGAGCAAACA